rnacentral:rRNA from 1 species
UACGUAGGCAGCAAGCGUUGUUCGGAUUUACUGGGCGUAAAGGGCGCGUAGGCGGCAAUUCAAGUCAUCUGUGAAAUCUCCGGGCUUAACUCGGAACGGUCAGAUGAUACUGCUUUGCUAGAGUGCAGAAGGGGCAAUCGGAAUUCUUGGUGUAGCGGUGAAAUGCGUAGAUAUCAAGAGGAACACCUGAGGUGAAGACGGGUUGCUGGGCUGACACUGACGCUGAGGCGCGAAAGCCAGGGGAGCAAACGGG